UGUCAGUACGUCAUAAAUAGAACGAGGCAUCAGAUUACUGUCAGGGAUUUGUUGUGUCGUGCCGCACUGCAUCCAGUGUAGACAACAUCAUAUAAUAAUAGGUUCUAUUGUAUUUUGUUGCGCCGUCCGGUGUAGACACGGUGUUAGAAAUCUUAUUAAAUAUCGUUACAUAUGAUGUUUGUAUGAUGCCAUCCAUAACUGAUAGAACGUUUCUAUUUCAGAGACUGAAAAUCAUCAAUAAACCAAAAGUUUGGUUUAGCUCCAACCCCAAUUAAGCAGACCUGAGCAGCUGAUCAAGGAUCACCAGAAACUCUGCAGAAGGUUGGUCCUCCAUGCCCAGGACUGGACACCAGUGUUAUGCUGGUGAAAAAACCGCCAGGCUAAAGCAUUCAAAGUGGAAACUUCUGUUGUGGCUCAAUAAUCCAGGAUUGUGAUGGUGGAAGGAGCAGAAGAACCAGAAGAUCAGAGAUCAGGCAGAGAUCUACUGGUGCGCCUGAGGAAACAGAUCUACCUCAUGUCUUAGUUAAACCAAAGAUUCUCAUCACUCACCUCCAUGCCGUUCCGAACCUGUAAGACUUUUGUUCAUCUUUGAAACAUAAAUGUAUAUCUUUUUAAUGAAAUCUGAGAAAUUUCUGCCCCUCCAUUUCACAGUUUAUGCAACUACCACUUUCAAGCCUCAGAAAGGUAAUAAAUACAUCAUUAAAGUAAACCCAUGUGACUCCAGUUGUUUAUCCUCAAUUUAUGAAGUGAUAUGAAUGUUUUGUGUGCACAAAAAACUUUGCAUUUUUAUUUACAAAAUAACAUGUUCACGAGAGCACCAUGAUGCAUCACUGUUGCGUUGGCGUAAGAGCUGGCCAUCUCAUGCUGCUUUUGUGAAAAUGCUUUGGAGAUUUGUGAAUAAAGACAUACUAUUUUUGUUAUUGCUGUUUUUUUGCGUACACAUGGCAUCUGUUAAAAAUAUCUUCAUUUGUGUUCUGCACAAAAGGGUCUUAUGGGUUUGAAGCGACAUGAGGGUAAGUAAUUAAUGACAUAAUUUACAUUUUUGGGUGAAAUAUGUU